UAAAGGUUUUAUUUUGGCUAAAUAAUUUAUUGUUAUUAUAUUUUAUAUGUAAGUUUGUGCAUGAAUUAUUUAUAUUUUUAAUAAAUAUAAAUUAUUUUUAUUCGCAGUAUUUAGUUUUAAUUAUUAAAGAAAUUUAGAAUUAGUAAUAAUUAAUAGUAUGGGUUAAUUUUGUGCCAGCAUCCGCGGUUAUACAGGAUAUACAAAUGAAUUUUAUUAUUAUGUAGUUAGUUGAAUUUUUAUAGAUGAGAUUAUAAAUUUUAAGGUGAAAUUUAAAUUUAUAAAAAGUUUAUUAAAAAUUUUUUUGAAGCUAUUAAAAUUUGAAAAUAAACUAGGAUUAGAUACCCUAUUAUUAAAAAUGUAAAUAAGUAAAUAUUUGGUAGUAUUAGUUAUGUUCUUGAAACUAAAAAAAUUUGGCGGUAUUUUAAUCUAUUUAGAGGAACCUGUUCCGUAAUUGAUAGUCCACGGGAGAUUUUACAUAAUUUUAUUUAAUUUGUAUAUCGUCGUUAUAAGGAAAUUUUAUAAGAAUAUAUAAUUUUCUAGAAUUUAUAUUUAAAUAUAUUUCAGAUCAAGGUGCAAUAAAUAAUUAUGAGGAGAUGGGUUACAAUAAAAUUAUUUAUAAUGGAUAAUAAAUUGAAAUAUUUGGUUGAAGGUGGAUUUAAUAGUAAAUUAAAUUAAUUUAUUUAAUUGAUUAUAGUUCUAAAAUAUGCACAUAUCGCCCGUCGCUCUCUUUUUUUAAAAAGAGAUAAGUCGUAACAAAGUAGGUGUACUGGAAAGUGUACCUAGAAUGUU
rnacentral:ncRNA from 1 species